rnacentral:ncRNA from 1 species
UCUUAUCAAGAGCAGGUGGAGGGACGAGCCCGAUGAAACCCGGCAACCGAUUUACCCUGAUGGGUAAAAACGGUGCUAAUUCUUGCAGCUAGGAAGCUGAGAGAUAAGA